rnacentral:lncRNA from 1 species
AUGGAAGGACUUAAGCUUGAAAUGCACAAAUCAGCAAGCUCAGCACAGUUGCACCAUGACCAGCCACUCCCAGCUGGCUCAGGACAGGUAGCAGGCACUAUGCAUGCAAGACACGUGUGCACUAUGUUCUUAACACAAUGUGUCUCCUUCUGCUUUGUCUCCAGCUGUGUAGGUACCAGACAUAACAAAGAAUGGGAUGGCUCGCAAUUAACAACUGCCUCUGAAGAAGCAAUUCAGAGGCUUCUUAAACAGUGUCGCGUCAUGGCCUCUGGCUCAGAGGAGAACCUUUUCAGUCUGGCCCAAGGCAAUGGCUGCUUGUCAUCUCUGCUGUCCUUGUCCCCCUCCUUUUCUAGUGGCUCUCCAUUCCCUGUCAGGAACUCUGCAGCUGAGUCUGCUGCAAGCAGAGGAAACUGCACCUCAAAAGAAUCUACGGUUUUAGCAUUUCAAGUAAAAGAGGCACCAUCUCCUUCCCCAGUGCAGAGUUGCUUGGUCUCGCUUGCCGACCGUAUGGUUUGUUGUUUUCUGGAGGAGGAGAACCAGCGGUCCACAAAACUACUCCAGAGGUUAGACAGCCAUAUUCACCAGAUGAAAGAAAACCAGGCAAAGACACAGUCCAAGUACCCACCCAGUGUCCCGAGUCCUGCACGCACUUCUGUACACUUCCUGGCGCAGUAGUGGCCCUUCUGGGAAAUCAGAGACAUGAGGACUUUGUCACUGGAUGUGUAUCGGAUCAGUUUGAUGGACUUCCAAAGGCAAACCCAGGACGGGACUUGGACUGUACACCACUGUGCUGUCGGAGGCCCGCAGAUGACACAUUAAAUCAGUUUAGACGGACGGAAAAGGCCUCGGUAAAAGGAGUAAUCAGAAGAGUCUUUGGAGAGUUUUAUUUGUGUUUUAUUGAUGACAAUUGACAUGGAAAAAUUAGGAAACAAGACAGUCAAUUUAGUAAUAAACUGGUUACUUUUCUUAGUUUGAAUUUGGUUUUAACCCGAUUGAGAACGUAUGUAGUUGGAGAAAUCCCUUUCAUUGGAACUUUAUGUUAAACCUUUAAAAUUAAAUUAACAUUUUUCUUUUUUCAUGUGUAAGUGUGGGUCAUGUCGUUCAACAGGAAAAUCAAAUAAUGGUCACAAUGGUCAAGGAGGAGAUCCUGCCCCAAGUGGAGGAGUUUAAGUACCUCGGGGUCUUGUUCACGAGUGAGGGAAGAAUGGAGCAGGAGAUCGACAGGCGGAUCGGUGCGGCGUCCGCAGUAAUGCGGACUCUGCACUGGUCCGUAGUGGUGAAGAGAGAGCUGAGCCGAAAGGCGAAGCUCUCGAUGUACCUGUCGAUCUUCAUUCCUACCCUCACCUAUGGUCAUGAGCUUUGGGUAAUGGCCGAAAGAACAAGAUCACGGGUACAAGCGGCUGAAAUGAGCUUCCUCCGUAGGGUGGCUGGGCUCUCCCUUAGUGAUGGGGUGAGAAGCUCUGCCAUCCGGGAGGAGCUCGGAGUAGAGUCGCUGCUCCUCCACGUUGAGAGGAGCCAGAUGAGGUGGCUUGGGCAUCUAGUUAGGAUACCCCCUGGAGGCCUCCCUGGUGAGGUGUUCAGGGCAUGUCCCUCCGGUAGGUCAAGAUCACAAAUCCAUUAUCUUUUGAAUGUGUUCACCAUGACAUGGUUUUAUUGUUUGAGUUUUCCAUGCCUGACAUGUUCAAAGAAGCGGACGAAUCGGACUCAUUCUACAGGCUGGAGUACUUUACUGUAAAUGUGUCUUCCUGGAAAAAAAAUGCAUUGAUAUUAUGCCCUGAAGACACUCAGACGGUGGAGACGAACAUACCGACUGGUACCAAUACCACUCAAACAUGAAAAUCAGCUCUUAUGAUGAACGUUGAGGAAACUUUCUUUACUUGCAUGUUUGUCGCGCUGUUCGGUAGAAAUAGACCAAAAUCAAUUCUGAAUUAAAAAAAACUGUGUGAUUUUUAUUUGUAACAGAAUACUGGAAUUACUUCCAGAAGCUUCUAGGGUCUUGCCAUGGUCCCUAAACACUGUGUCUCAGUUCAUGAUGGAAGAGCCCUGAUCAUCAUACACCCAUCAGAUUUGGACCAUGACCUGGAGGUCGGCUUCUUCCAUGGAUACUUUUCAUGAUGAACUGGAAAUAUAUAUUUAGAUAUUAAAUUACACCAUUUUUUACAGUGAUACCUUAUCAGCCCAAUAGACCGCUCCGCUCUCAGAAUGCUGGUCUACUUGUGGUUCCCAGAGUUUCUAGGAGUAGAAUGGGGGGCCGAGCAUUUAGCUACCAGGCCCCCCUGCUAUGGAACCAGCUCCCUGUCCAGGUACGGGAGGCUGACUCCAUUGCUACUUUUAAGAUCAGACUCAAAACCUACCUCUUUGAAAAAGCUUAUUGUUACUAUUUCAGUAGUUCCAGUUACUAUCAUAGACAGACAAAUUAUCAUACUUAGGGGGUCGUCUAAUCGUUAGGUCACAUCUUAGCUAUGCUGUUAUAGGCCAAGGCUGCCGGGGUCCGGAAACAUGAUCACCUGACAGGCCUCUGUCACUCCACUGGGUCAUGGUUUCCUCUCCUCUCCUCUCCUUUCCUCUCCUCAUCAAGCAGACUAGUUCUUGUGUAGUUUUUCUGCUCCCCCCCCCCCCCCCCCCCCCCUCUAUUUAUUUACAGGUAUCGCCGCCCUCGGAGCUGCAUAAUGACCUCCGGCCCCGCUGAAGUGAUUGUACAUCAUAUUUUUUGUGUGUGUUUCUGUGCUCUGUGCCUCUCCUCUCCUCUCCUCUCCUCUCCUCUCCUCUCCUCUCCUCUCCCCCUCCUUCUCCUCUCCUCUACCCCUCCCCUCUCCUCUCCUCUCCUCUCCUACCUAUCCUAUCUUCUACCUGUCCUCCCCCUUCUCCUCUCUCUUUACCUAGCCGGCCAUCAGCAGGAGGGUCCCCCUACAUGAGCCUGGUCCUGCUCAAGGUUUCUUCCUGUUAAAGGGGAGUUUUUCCUUGCCACUGUUGCUUGUCUGGGGUCAGGCCCUGGGAUUCUGGAAAGCGCCUUGAAACAAUUUUGAUUGUAUAAGACACUAUAUAAAUAAAGAUUGAUUUGAUUUGAUUUGACAAUCAUCUCUUAAUUAAGUGCCUUGUCAGCCUAAUUUGCAUGUCCAUGUAGCAUUAACAGGACACGUG